AGAGUUCGAUCCUGGCUCAGGAUGAACGCUGGCGGCGCGCCUAACACAUGCAAGUCGAACGGCACCCCUCUCCGGAGGGAAGCGAGUGGCGAACGGCUGAGUAACACGUGGAGAACCUGCCCCCUCCCCCGGGAUAGCCGCCCGAAAGGACGGGUAAUACCGGAUACCCCGGGGUGCCGCAUGGCACCCCGGCUAAAGCCCCGACGGGAGGGGAUGGCUCCGCGGCCCAUCAGGUAGACGGCGGGGUGACGGCCCACCGUGCCGACAACGGGUAGCCGGGUUGAGAGACCGACCGGCCAGAUUGGGACUGAGACACGGCCCAGACUCCUACGGGAGGCAGCAGUGGGGAAUCUUGCGCAAUGGGGGGAACCCUGACGCAGCGACGCCGCGUGCGGGACGGAGGCCUUCGGGUCGUAAACCGCUUUCAGCAGGGAAGAGUCAAGACUGUACCUGCAGAAGAAGCCCCGGCUAACUACGUGCCAGCAGCCGCGGUAAUACGUAGGGGGCGAGCGUUAUCCGGAUUCAUUGGGCGUAAAGCGCGCGUAGGCGGCCCGGCAGGCCGGGGGUCGAAGCGGGGGGCUCAACCCCCCGAAGCCCCCGGAACCUCCGCGGCUUGGGUCCGGUAGGGGAGGGUGGAACACCCGGUGUAGCGGUGGAAUGCGCAGAUAUCGGGUGGAACACCGGUGGCGAAGGCGGCCCUCUGGGCCGAGACCGACGCUGAGGCGCGAAAGCUGGGGGAGCGAACAGGAUUAGAUACCCUGGUAGUCCUGUCUCUUAUACACAUCUCCGAGCCCACGAGACUAGCGCUCAUCU
rnacentral:rRNA from 1 species